GUCGGCCAUGUGCACUGCCAAAUCGUGGUGACAACGUGAUCUAGGGGUGCCAGUUUGAAUUUAGAACGUGUUUGGUUUUAGUCGCCAGUUUUAACAUUUAAAAUUAAUGCUAUUAGUGACGGCCAUUUUUUAUUUUGGUCUUACAGACAGCCCACUAUGCAGAGCAUGCAUCAUCAUGAAAUCCAGGGACCAUGAGCGAAGCCUGCCGUUCACCAUCGCCGGUGCUCCGCUUCCUGAAGGAGCUGGGCUGGCUGGAAUGAUCAGCGGCUCAGAUUCCGCACGCAGAAAGGGCCCAGACAAGAGGCCUAACUGCGGAAAACAGACCUCGAGGGAAUCUGCAGAACUGCACAUGCACCGAGACACCCCGGCCGUAUGCUCGACAACGUGAUAAACACAUUGACAUGAAUUAUACAUCGAAAUAGACUUUUUGUAUACAUUCAAUUGAAAAAUGGAUUUGCUAGUUACUACUUUAUAUUUAUGAGUACAUUUUUUUGGAUAGGUAUCUAUUUGUAUUGGAUUUAACUACUUUUAUUUAACUACUUUUGCACCGUCAAAUUUGACGUUGAUUUUAACCGGUGACGUUUAGACAAAACGGCGCACUUUGCAUUUUUCUGCGCAAGUAAGUUGACGGUUGCAACCAACCCUGAGGGCAUUUAAGCAUAUUUCUGGUAUGAACUCGUUAAACAUUAUAUUAUUAAGAAAAAUAUUUUUUUAUUAUUAUUAAGAAAAAUGUUUUUUUUUUAAUUCUUAGACUGAAUUAUAUGAUCAUUCCGACAACGGGUGGGAGAUGCAAAAUCCCACCCACACGUAUGGCGUGUGGGUGGUCGCGAAAACUCAUCGUAACAAAUUAAUUCCAGAUCAAAGUAUUUUUUUAAAAUAGAAUUAAAUUAUUAGGUGGCCUGGCCAGCCUAAAAGAUAGGAGCCAGGAGAUGAAAAUGCUGCCUACUUGAGAAUUUCUUAACAGUUGUGAAUUUUUGAUAAAUCUUAGCAAAAUCUGACCCCUCUAGCACUGCUCUCUCCAUUUUUUCCAUUCGGUCUUUACUUGAAUAAAUAUUUUUUGAUUAAUAUUGGUCAAAGCAAGUUCAGACUUUUCCUUCA